CCCUGCCUAUGCGGCUGGCUCUGAAGUGCUGGGGGAAUCGGACUAAAUAAGAUUUGCCUGUGCUUUGCCCAGACUGGAGUGCCUCUGGAGAGCCGACUUAGCUUAUAUGGAUGUUACCUAGAAGAAAGGAGACUACUUGUUCCAGGCUCCACCAGUGUGACUGUUUUUAUGUUAGACUAUCAUCUACAAAGUGGGAAUAUAAUGGAGCUGAGAUAAGGAAGCAGCUGAUCUUCACCCCCUGCAUGAGAAUUGCAAGAGGCCACAUCAUUGCAUUCCCUCUUGCCUGUGUUCCUACCGGGMUUGUGGUGAUACCGUACCAUAAACUGCAUAUGAUGCUCAAGAGGUUUGACAUCAUCACGGUUCUGAGAGCUUCCUGGCUGGAUUAUGUCUCCCGUACCAUACCACCCUCUUCACACAAUUCCCAUGGUGUGUUUGGUGCCAGAAGGAAGGCUGCAGAGGUGACUGAGCCCUUUUCCUAAAAUCUGCCUUUGAUUUGACAGAAAGCAAAUGUUUCUUGCUAAGUAGAUUCCUUACCUGCUCUGCAAUUCUUAGAGGAAGCCACAACCCACACAAACAAUCCUCCUUGUUUUCCCUCCCCA
rnacentral:lncRNA from 1 species